UCUCUAUAUGCAUCGCCAGGUACGUUCCGAAGAGUGAAGAGUCUUUGAGAUCUCCGUUAUCAUCAGAAAAGUUAGCAUCAGAGGCGUCCCCCACUGGGUCCCCAAGACUUUGUUCUAGCUAAAGGUCACAGAGCACGUUGAAGGUUUCGCCGGAAAUUGCAUCAACACUCAAAAAGUUUAAACAGAUCGAUGUUAAAACAGGCAACAAUGCAAGGAAAAUAAGAAGAUCCUAAGAUCGAAUGACGAUAAUUGCCUUGCAUAUGCGCAUGCAUUGAGGGAUCUGUGACUCUGCCACCGAAUACAUUACUUCUUAUUCUUCUUUUGGACAAAGUGAAUAUAGUUAAUUAAGGACAAUAUCUUAUUCUUA